rnacentral:rRNA from 1 species
GUAACGGCGAGUGAAGCGGCAACAGCUCAAAUUUGAAAUCUGGCCCUCGGGUCCGAGUUGUAAUUUGUAGAGGAUGCUUUUGGUGCAGUGCCUUCCGAGUUCCUUGGAACAGGACGCCUUAGAGGGUGAGAGCCCCGUACGGUUGGACACUAAGCCUCUGUAAAGCUCCUUCGACGAGUCGAGUAGUUUGGGAAUGCUGCUCUAAAUGGGAGGUAAAUUUCUUCUAAAGCUAAAUACCGGCCAGAGACCGAUAGCGCACAAGUAGAGUGAUCGAAAGAUGAAAAGUACUUUGAAAAGAGGGUUAAAUAGCACGUGAAAUUGUUGAAAGGGAAGCGUUUAUGACCAGACCUUUGUCUGGCGGAUCAUCCGGUGUUCUUCACCGGUGCACUUCGCCAGGCUCAGGCCAGCAUCGAUUUCUGUAGGGGGAUAAAAACCAUGGGAACGUAGCUCUCUCCGGGGAGUGUUAUAGCCCUAGGUACAAUACCUUUACGGGGAUCGAGGUUCGCGCUUCUGCAAGGAUGCUGGCGUAAUGGUCAUCAACGACCCGUCUUGAAACACGGACCAAGGAGUCGAACAUUUAUGCGAGUGUUUGGGUGUUAAACCCUCACGCGUAAUGAAAGUGAACGGAGGUGAGAGCCCGUACGGGUGCAUCAUCGACCGAUCCUGAUGUCUUCGGAUGGAUUUGAGUAAGAGCAUAACUGUUCGGACCCGAAAGAUGGUGAACUAUGCGUGGAUAGGGUGAAGCCAGAGGAAACUCUGGUGGAGGCUCGCAGCGGUUCUGACGUGCAAAUCGAUCGUCAAAUCUGCGCAUGGGGGCGAAAGACUUAUCGAACCAUCUAGUAGCUGGUUACCGCCGAAGUUUCCCCUCAGGA